GAUGAACGCUGGCGGCGUGCCUAAUACAUGCAAGUCGAGCGAACAGACGAGGAGCUUGCUCCUCUGACGUUAGCGGCGGACGGGUGAGUAACACGUGGAUAACCUACCUAUAAGACUGGGAUAACUUCGGGAAACCGGAGCUAAUACCGGAUAACAUGUUGAACCGCAUGGUUCAACAGUGAAAGACGGUUUUGCUGUCACUUAUAGAUGGAUCCGCGUCGCAUUAGCUAGUUGGUAAGGUAACGGCUUACCAAGGCGACGAUGCGUAGCCGACAUGAGAGGGUGAUCGGCCACACUGGAACUGAGACACGGUACAGACUCCUACGGGAGGCAGCAGUAGGGAAUCGUCCGCAAUGGGCGAAAGCCUGACGGAGCAACGCCGCGUGAGUGAAGAAGGUCUUCGGAUCGUAAAACUCUGUUAUUAGGGAAGAACAAAUGUGUAAGUAACUAUGCGCGUCUUGACGGUACCUAAGCAGAGAGCCACGGCUAACUUCGUG
rnacentral:rRNA from 1 species